GAUGAACGCUAGCUACAGGCUUAACACAUGCAAGUCGAGGGGCAUCAGUUUGGUUUGCUUGUCAAACCAAAGACUGGUCGACCGGCGCACGGGUGAGUAACACGUAUCCAACCUGCCUCAUACUCGGGGAUAGCCUUUCGAAAGAAGAUUAAUAUCCGAUAGCAUAUAUUUCCCGCAUGGGUUUUAUAUUAAAGAACUUCGGUUAUCGAUGGGGAUGCGUUCCAUUAGCUUGUUGGCGGGGUAACGGCCCACCAAGGCUUCGAUGGAUAGGGGUUCUGAGAGGAAGGUCCCCCACAUUGGAA
rnacentral:rRNA from 1 species